CAGGGGUGACAGGUGGUGCAUGGUUGUCGUCAGCUCGUGUCGUGAGAUGUUGGGUUAAGUCCCGCAACGAGCGCAACCAUUGUCCUUAGUUGCCACCAUUCAGUUGGGCACUCUAAGGAGACUGCCGGUGACAAACCGGAGGAAGGUGGGGAUGACGUCAAAUCAUCAUGCCCCUUAUGAGUUGGGCUACACACGUGCUACAAUGGACGGUACAAAGGGCAGCGAAGCCGCGAGGUGGAGCCAAUCCCAGAAAGCCGUUCUCAGUUCGGAUUGCAGGCUGCAACUCGCCUGCAUGAAGUCGGAAUCGCUAGUAAUCGCAGGUCAGCAUACUGCGGUGAAUACGUUCCCGGGUCUUGUACACACCGCCCGUCACACCACGAGAGUUUGUAACACCCGAAGUCGGUGAGGUAACCUUAGGGAGCCAGCCGCCGAAGGUGGGACAGAUGAUUGGGGUGAAGUCGUUAACAAGGCUGCCGGGAUCUCGGGAACCAGGGCGUCGGCGGGAACGAUUGAUCGGCGGCUCCGACCCCAU
rnacentral:rRNA from 1 species